rnacentral:rRNA from 1 species
UACGGGGGGAGCAAGCGUUGUUCGGAUUUACUGGGCGUAAAGGGCGCGUAGGCGGCCAGCACAAGUCAGUUGUGAAAUCUCCGAGCUUAACUCGGAAAGGUCAACUGAUACUGUGCGGCUAGAGUGCGGAAGGGGCAACUGGAAUUCUUGGUGUAGCGGUGAAAUGCGUAGAUAUCAAGAGGAACACCGGUGGCGAAGGCGGCUACCUGGACAGAAACUGACGCUGAGGCGCGAAAGCUAGGGGAGCAAACAGG